GAAUUUUGGACAAUGGGCGCAAGCCUGAUCCAGCCAUGCCGCGUGAGUGAAGAAGGCCUUCGGGUUGUAAAGCUCUUUCAGUCGGGAAGAACAGGCGUCCUCUAACAUAGGGCGUCGAUGACGGUACCGACAGAAGAAGCACCGGCUAACUACGUGCCAGCAGCCGCGGUAAUACGUAGGGGGCGAGCGUUAAUCGGAAUUAAUGGGCGUAAAGCGUGCGGAGGCGGUUCGCUAAGACAGGUGUGAAAUCCCCGGGCUUAACCUGGGAACUGCGCUUGUGACUGGCGGGCUAGAGUACGGCAGAGGGGGGUGGAAUUCCACGUGUAGCAGUGAAAUGCGUAGAUAUGUGGAGGAACACCGAUGGCGAAGGCAGCCCCCUGGGCCUGUACUGACGCUCAUGCACGAAAGCGUGGGGAGCAAACAG
rnacentral:rRNA from 1 species